rnacentral:rRNA from 1 species
UACGAAGGGGGCUAGCGUUGCUCGGAAUCACUGGGCGUAAAGGGUGCGUAGGCGGGUCUUUAAGUCAGGGGUGAAAUCCUGGAGCUCAACUCCAGAACUGCCUUUGAUACUGAGGAUCUUGAGUUCGGGAGAGGUGAGUGGAGCUGCGAGUGUAGAGGUGAAAUUCGUAGAUAUUCGCAAGAACACCAGAGGCGAAGGCGGCUCACUGGCCCGAUACUGACGCUGAGGCACGAAAGCGUGGGGAGCAAACAGG